rnacentral:rRNA from 1 species
AUUGAACGCUGGCGGAAUGCUUUACACAUGCAAGUCGAGCGGCAGCGCGGGGGCAACCCUGGCGGCGAGCGGCGAACGGGUGAGUAAUACAUCGGAACGUACCCUGUCGUGGGGGAUAACGAAUCGAAAGAUUCGCUAAUACCGCAUACGACCUGAGGGUGAAAGCAGGGGAUCGCAAGACCUUGCGCGACUGGAGCGGCCGAUGUCGGAUUAGCUAGUUGGUAGGGUAAAGGCCUACCAAGGCGACGAUCCGUAGCUGGUCUGAGAGGACGACCAGCCACACUGGGACUGAGACACGGCCCAUACUUCUACGGAAGGCAGCAGUUAGGAAUCUUGCGCAAUGGACGAAAGUCUGACGCAGCGACAUCGCGUGAAGGAUGAAGGCCCUCGGGUCGUAAACUUCUUUUGUUUUGCCAUGAAGGCAUUAUGAAUAAACAGCUACUAACUACGUGCCAGCAGUCGCGGUAAUACGUAGGCUGUAAGCGUUACCCGGUUUUAUU